UCAAGUCAGAUGAUCUCCAGAGCAGAAAUCCACCAACUGAUCUGUUUUCAAUCUAAUCCUUCUCCUUCUCCUUCUCCUCCUCCCCUCACCCUCUCCCCCCCCCAGUUGCACCAUUUGCUAUUCCAGAUGGGCCCGGCUCUUUUUUUAUACAUCGGAAUGGAGAAGCAGAAAUGGACAGCUCUGGGUCAUGUAGCCCCCUCCCAACCUUCACCAAGUUGCUGAUCUCCUGAGAACCUUAGGGAGGAGACACAAGGAGAAAGAUGCAGGACACCCAGCUUGGAGAUUCAGGUCACAAAAUUGCCUGAAAGUUUGUGUAACGGUGAAGAAUUCUCAUUUCUAUCCAGUGACCUGUUUUGUACUUAUUCAUACACAUCUUCCUCAUUGUUGGAAUAUUAGCAAG